UGGGGAAUAUUGCACAAUGGGGGAAACCCUGAUGCAGCGACGCCGCGUGAGCGAAGAAGGUUUUCGAAUCGUAAAGCCCUGUCCUAUGGGAAGAUAAUGACGGUACCAUAGGAGGAAGCCCCGGCUAACUACGUGCCAGCAGCCGCGGUAAUACGUAGGGGGCAAGCGUUGUCCGGAAUCACUGGGCGUCAAGGGUUCGCAGGCGGAAAUGCAAGUCAGUUGUGAAAGGCAGAGGCUCAACCUCUGUAAGCAAUUGAAACUGUAUUUCUUGAGAGGUGGAGAGGCAGGUGGAAGUCCUAGUGUAGCGGUGAAAUGCGUAGAUAUUAGGAAGAAUACCGGUGGCGAAGGCGACUUGCUGGACACAAACUGACGCUGAGGAACGAAAGCGUGGGUAGCAAACAGG
rnacentral:rRNA from 1 species